rnacentral:rRNA from 1 species
GACGAACGCUGGCGGCGCGCUUAACACAUGCAAGUCGAACGGAAAGGCCUGCUUUCCCUUGUGGAUUGCGGGUACUCGCGUGGCGAACGGGUGAGUAACACGUGAGUGAUCUGCCCCCAACUUGGGUAUAAGCCUGGGAAACUGGGUCUAAUUCCCGAUAGGACUGCAGGGUGGUGCCUGUGGUGGAAAACGAUUUUCUAGUGGUUGGGGAUGAGCUCGCGGCCUAUCAGCUUGUUGGUGGGGUAAUGGCCUACCAAGGCGGCGACGGGUAGCCGGCCUGGGAGGGUGGACGGCGACAGUGGGACUGAGAUACGGCCCAGACUGCUACGGGAGGCAGCAGUGGGGAAUAGUGCACGAGGGGCGGAAGCCUGAGGCAGCGACGCCGCGUGGGGGAUGACGGCCUUCGGGUUGUAAACUCCUUUCGACCGCGAGGAAGCCACCUGGUUGGAAGGGUGGUGACGGUAGUGGUAGAAGAAGCACCGGCUAACUACGUG